AAGCUUUUGAUCACUUGGUUCUAUAAAUACCAUACCUCCUCCUCACUUCUUCACAACCCAAAAUCUCCCAUUUGCAUCAUCUUUCUUAGUCUUCCCUCUUCAUCAAUUACUUUUUUUUUUUUCUCACUUUCCAAACACUUUUUACAGAAUCAUGGGUGUGUUCACAUACGAAACCGAGAUCAACUCUGUCAUCCCUCCUGCUAGGUUGUUCAAUGCCUUUGUUCUUGAUGCUGACAACCUAAUCCCAAAAAUUGCACCACAGGCAGUUAAGAGCACUGAGAUCCUUGAAGGAGAUGGAGGCGUUGGAACCAUCAAGAAAAUUAACUUUGGUGAAGGUAAGUUUAGAUUUUUUUUUUUCUUCUUCUUCUGGUUUGUUAUUUUAAUGUUACAGAAAUAUUGUUUUGGGGUCAUCUUAUCUCAUAACAGAAAGAUUCAUCUGGUUUAAUGUAUAUAUUUGUGCAGGUAGCACUUACAGCUAUGUGAAGCACAGAAUUGAUGGGAUUGACAAAGAGAACUUCGUGUACCAGUACAGUGUGAUCGAAGGAGAUGCAAUCUCUGAGACAAUUGAGAAGAUCUCCUAUGAGACUAAGUUGGUGGCAUCUGGCAGUGGUUCUGUCGUCAAGAGCACCAGCCACUACCACACCAAGGGAGAGUUUGAGAUCAAGGAAGAGCAUGUCAAGGCUGGCAAAGAGAAGGCCUCUCAUCUCUUCAAGCUCAUUGAGAACUACCUCUUGGAACACCAUGAUGCCUACAACUAAAUAUUCAUAGCUUUAUUACUUGGUGAUAUUCAAUCUUAUGUCCUCUUUGGCAUCAAAUAAUGGUGUGGUUUUUUUUUUUUUUUCCUUCUUCAUUUCUUUCCAAAACCGUGUUUGGCUUGUGCUUGGAGCUUUGGUUUGAAGAUUGAUUAAUACUAUAUUUUCUUUAGUUUCCAAUGAAUAAAAUGAAAAUCAUGGAUAUAUGAUGAUAUUUGCAAGCUCUUUUCUCGUAACAUUGUAAUGCAUAAUGUCAACAUAUCAUAUUUGAAGCGGCAUGUGUCAAUUACCAACGAUCAUAAUAAUUGAAAUAACAAUCGG
rnacentral:lncRNA from 1 species